rnacentral:rRNA from 1 species
AGAGUUUGGAUCAUGGCUCAGAUUGAACGCUGGCGGAAUGCUUUACACAUGCAAGUCGAGCGGCAGCGCGGGGGCAACCCUGGCGGCGAGCGGCGAACGGGUGAGUAACAUAUCGGAACGUACCCCGUCGUGGGGGAUAACACAGCGUAAGCUGUGCUAAUACCGCAUACGACCUGAGGGUGAAAGCGGGGGAUCGCAAGACCUCGCGCGAUGGGAGCGGCCGAUAUCGGAUUAGCUUGUUGGUGAGGUAAAGGCUCACCAAGGCGACGAUCCGUAGCUGGUCUGAGAGGACGACCAGCCACACUGGAACUGAGACACGGUCCAGACUCCUACGGGAGGCAGCAGUGGGGAAUUUUGGACAAUGGGGGCAACCCUGAUCCAGCCAUUCCGCGUGAGUGAAGAAGGCCUUCGGGUUGUAAAGCUCUUUCAGCAGGAACGAAACGGUGGCCACUAAUACUGGCUACUAAUGACGGUACCUGAAGAAGAAGCACCAGCUAACUACGUG